CGGGACUUGGUCGCUGCAGCCGGUGCCGCCGCUGCUCGGGGAGCAUGAAGGACCGAACCCAGGAACUCCGCACGGCCAAAGACAGUGACGAUGAUGACGAGGUCACAGUCACCGUGGACCGGGAUCGCUUCAUGGAUGAGUUCUUCGAGCAGGUGGAGGAGAUCCGGGGCUUCAUCGACAAGAUUGCUGAGAACGUGGAGGAGGUGAAGCGGAAGCACAGUGCCAUCCUGGCCUCCCCUAACCCCGACGAGAAGACAAAGGAGGAGCUGGAAGAACUCAUGGCAGACAUAAAGAAGACAGCAAACAAAGUUCGUUCUAAGUUAAAGAGUAUAGAGCAGAGCAUCGAGCAGGAGGAAGGCCUGAACCGCUCUUCUGCGGACCUGAGGAUCCGCAAGACACAGCACUCCACGUUGUCCCGGAAGUUUGUGGAGGUCAUGUCCGAGUACAACGCCACGCAGUCCGACUACCGCGAGCGCUGCAAGGGCCGCAUUCAGAGGCAGCUGGAGAUCACCGGCAGGACCACCACCAGUGAGGAGCUGGAGGACAUGCUGGAGAGUGGGAACCCCGCCAUCUUUGCUUCUGGGAUCAUCGUGGACUCCAGCAUCUCCAAGCAGGCUUUGAGUGAGAUUGAGACUCGGCACAGUGAGAUCAUUAAGCUGGAGAGCAGCAUCCGGGAGCUGCAUGACAUGUUCAUGGACAUGGCUAUGCUUGUGGAGAGCCAGGUUGCUGGCAUGCCAGCCCUGCCCUGCCCUGAGGAGCCAGCCCUGGAGCCACCACCCGGGCCUUGCAGGGGGAGAUGAUCGACAGGAUCGAGUAUAAUGUGGAGCACGCUGUGGACUACGUGGAGCGGGCUGUGUCUGACACCAAGAAGGCCGUCAAGUACCAGAGCAAGGCGCGCCGGAAGAAGAUCAUGAUCAUCGUGUGCUGUGUGAUCCUGGGCAUCGUCAUUGCCUCCACCUUUGGGGGCAUCUUUGCAUAGGGCUGCUUGCCUGCCACGCUACCCUGGACAGCUCACCCAAGGCGGUCUGACCACGGGCCCUCUCCACCCACCUCACCUCUGGCUUGGAGCAACUCACUGCCCCCCUCUGCCCAAGCUGUGUUGUGUGCAUGAUCUUGUGACUGUGUGUCUGUGCAGAGAUGCAGCUGGGGCUGUGUGGGGCAGCCCCAGGUCCUCCCCCAGGCUGCCCUCCCUAGCCAGGCAGGGCUGGCCCAUGGGCAUGUUAGCAGUCCUCAGGCUUGGGUCCACCCUGACCUGGUGCCCAGGCUUUCUGGACCCCAACCUUGCUUCUACCCCUCCUACCCUGGCCUUCUCAACUGUUUUUCCCACCCAGCCUUCCGGAGCGCGGCCCAGCUGGCCUCAUGGUGCUGCUUUUUCUGGCUGGGGGAGGGGGUGGCCCCAAAAGCUCUAGCACCAAGCCUCUGCCAGCUGCCACUGUCAUGAGGCUCAGGGGUGCUGUUGCUGGCCUGUCAGGACUAAGCUCCUCCUCCUCCUGGGCCAAGCCUCUGGCUCUCAUCUCCCUUCCCAGGGCCCAGGAACAACCCCAGGGUGGGGCCUGAGCUGGGGUGGGGUCCGGGAAGGCUGCAGCCUGGGCCAGUGUUGCGCGUUUGGGGAUGCUGGCCCAGGUGCCUUGCCAGGCCUGGUCUUGCCCUGCCCUUGCCAUUGAUGUGUCAGUGCCAUGUGGCUUCAGGUGUCCUGGAUGCAGUAUUAAGCAGCCAGUCAGGGAGUGCCCCCAUCCUGGGGCUCCUAGUUCAAAUGUGCCCCAACCCCAGAUCCCCUCUUCCUUGACAGGCUAGGAGUCUGCAUGCGCCCGCAUGCAGGGGGACUGGCCAUGCCCAGGCCACCGCCCUCAGCUUUGCUCCUGCCUGGUACCUGUGACCACUGUCCGUGUUGCCUUCUCUGCCCUCCCCUGCCACCUCCACCAAAGGUCUUGGUACAACCAGCUGCCCAUUUUGUGAAU